AAUGCAAGUUGUUCUAUCGCCAUGAGGUUAAACUCAUGGAGGAAAGUCCGGGCAACAUAGGGCGAUCCGCCACCUGAAAGGGUGGGUGCAAGAACAGAAAUGUUCUCGUAACAGAAAGUGCCACAGAAAACAAGGUAGCCUUGUAACGCAAGUUACUCGGUGAUAGUGAAAAUGUGAGGUAAGAGCUCACAAACAUGGUUAGUGAUAAUUGUGUUGGGUAAACCUCGGAUGUUGAAAGGCCAAAUAGGUUGCGGUAAUUAAGGCGGCUCGUCUUAUCCUGAUUUAUCAGGAGCCGCAAUGGGUAGGUCGCAAAGAUAAAUGAUAGAAUAUAUCGCAAGGUUACACUUGCGAUGAAACAGAACCCGGCUUACAGGCUUGCAAAAAAU
rnacentral:RNase_P_RNA from 1 species